AGUGAACGCUGGCGGUAGGCCUAACACAUGCAAGUCGAACGGCAGCACAGGAGAGCUUGCUCUCUGGGUGGCGAGUGGCGGACGGGUGAGGAAUACAUCGGAAUCUACUCUGUCGUGGGGGAUAACGUAGGGAAACUUACGCUAAUACCGCAUACGACCUACGGGUGAAAGCAGGGGAUCUUCGGACCUUGCGCGAUUGAAUGGGCCGAUGUCGGAUUAGCUAGUUGGCGGGGUAAAGGCCCACCAAGGCGACGAUCCGUAGCUGGUCUGAGAGGAUGAUCAGCCACACUGGAACUGAGACACGGUCCAGACUCCUACGGGAGGCAGCAGUGGGGAAUAUUGGACAAUGGGCGCAAGCCUGAUCCAGCCAUACCGCGUGGGUGAAGAAGGCCCUCGGGUUGUAAAGCCCUUUUGUUGGGAAAGAAAUCCAGCUGGUUAAUACCCGGUUGGGAUGACGGUACCCAAAGAAUAAGCACCGGCUAACUUCGUGCCAGCAGCCGCGGUAAUACGAAGGGUGCAAGCGUUACUCGGAAUUACUGGGCGUAAAGCGUGCGUAGGUGGUUAUUUAAGUCCGUUGUGAAAGCCCUGGGCUCAACCUGGGAACUGCAGUGGAUACUGGAUGACUAGAAUGUGGUAGAGGGUAGCGGAAUUCCUGGUGUAGCAGUGAAAUGCGUAGAGAUCAGGAGGAACAUCCAUGGCGAAGGCAGCUACCUGGACCAACAUUGACACUGAGGCACGAAAGCGUGGGGAGCAACAGG
rnacentral:rRNA from 1 species